AUGUACUCUCAGAGGGGAAUCUGUAGCUAAAGAACACACCUGCACCGUGCAUCCCAGACUCAUUCAAGACUCUUUUCAUUGAUGGAAGAAUUGAAUGUGGCCCUCACGUCCUGGUCAAAGCCCGUGACUCUGGAACUUUCAGGAGAGAAACAUCACAGAAGCAGCAAAUGGGAGUAUGUUUUCACACGUGGUUACACAUUGGGUUUUUGUACCGAUGAAUCCCCGUGGGAGAAGUUUGAAUUAAAGAGUUGCAGGGCUAAUGCCACAUCAUAAUCGUCAGCCGUCCCCCCACCACCAUUCAGCCAGCUGGAAGAAAGGCCAAUGCUCUGCUCUUUGUGAAGCCAAGGGCAUCUCAGGAAACGUGUCCCAGGGGAUGCAUCUCAACUUGGUCAGCCUUCCUGUUCACUCCUGUCCUAAUCCCACCUCCUACACUUGUAUUUGGAGUGGGUAAGCAACUCAGCCUAGGCAUUUUAUGCCUCUCAGAGUGAGACUAAUUACAUAACAUACCAUUUUUGGCUGGACAGUGGAACGAGGUCUCAAUAACGCUGUGGCCAUGCAGGCUGUUUUUGUUUGCUCUCAAUUUUUUUAAGACUGUAAUUACAGAGACCUUCCUGGGAAGAGUAAAUUGCAGGCAGAAUAGUUGACUGAGAGCACGCUUUUCUUGCACCUCAUUCAUACAAACAAAUAAUAUCUAAUAAUGUGACUCAAGCCCAUUUCUAGUGUAGCUGGCUGAAGUAAGUAUUUUUCUGUCGAACACCUUUUGUUGUGCUCUGCAAACACAAGCUGCUAGAAUGACCUCAGCACUUCUUUAGCUUUUAUUCAAAGUCACUGAGAUGUUUAUGAUUCAGUUUCCUCCCCCGUCUCAGCAAUAAAUACCCACACAGCAAAGACCAGGAAAUCUGCCAAUCCAGUAAAUGACUCCUUUACAUUGUUCUUACUGCACAAAGAAGGUUUUUUUGCUUCAUCCCAAAAUGCCAUCCUGCAGGAGUUACUUUAUAAUGAACCAGCGAUGCCCAGCAGAGUUGGGCAACACAUCAGAGGAAAGACAGUGUCGUGUACACUGAAGCAAGGUGAAAAAGAAGAGAAGGCAUAAUUACUUUUAAAUUUUGAAUCACUCAGUGAUUCUAUUGCUUUUCUACAAAGUUUAUAUUUUCAUGGAAGUGACUUUUCAGUCAUUCUUCAUAGUUGUACUCAGGAGUACCUGAAUAUCUAAGUAGUCUUUUAUUCUUUUCUGCUUUCUAAGUAAGAAACCAAAGUAUUUGGCUGCACUUUUUGCUGCUGAUGCAUUAAAGGAUGAUCAAGACAGCUGAAGCAAACUGUUUGCAAACAGCCUCUAAACUUCUAUAUGUCUAGAUAGGGCAUAUUAAACUUUUUUUAACAAAGCAGUCCCUCAGAGCAUAAGCCUGGGCACACAUCAUUUGCAAGCUAAAGAAAAGGCUGCUUUCGUAGGGUAGUUUGCACAUUAUGAAUUGUUCAGCUCUGAAGUGUGCUAUAAAGCAGAGAUGAACAUAAUCUUUGACUGCCUUUCUAUGUCUGCCCAAAGAAUAAUAUUGUUCUAAUUUACAAAUGUGGCAGAAAGAUGGGUUUAAGAAUAAUCUUGUUCCACCCUUACUAUUCUGCCAGUGAGCUCUAAGGUAGAUGUGGGCUAUCAGUGUUUUUGUUUCCCUGUAAAGAUAGAUUUUCAACAUUUAUUUACCAUUCAGGAAUAAGGAUAAAACACCUCCAGAGAAUUAAUUAAAAAAAAAAAAAAGAAUGUUCAGAAAGCAAAAGCUACAAUCAGACUGGCUCAGAGAUUUCUGCCCUUGAGAAUUUGAUUCUCUUCCUUAUCUCAGGACGUAUGCUCAGCCUGUGAGUACAGGCAUCCACACAUUUUCCUCCUUCGGAUAAAGCCGGAUUCCACUGUGGCACAAAGUUACAUAAAGAGUUUUUUCCUUGCCCCCAGUGAAAAUAGGAGGAGGAGGAAACAACAAGGAAGGUUUCUCUUUUGUUGUAGGUUUCUCUGUGCAUAUGGCUGCAGACUUGAAAAACAAACUAUUUGUUUGAGUACGUGUGGUUUUAAACUUGAUGUCAGGGAGGAAAAAAAGUGGUGUGAGUGAGAAAGGGAGAGCAGGCCAGAGCCACUCCUGGUUGGCAGAAGGACACUGAGAGACAAGCAGAGGGGACGGAUGAUCAAAGAGGGGAGAUGUGACCCUCAGAAUAACCAAAGAGGGAUAGAGUCCAACCAUUUCUGCAGAAAAUACAACAUUGAAAGGAAAGAAGCUGAAAUCAGGCAAUCCUGAAGCAGUGUGCAGUGCUGGAAGCGUGGACGCAGAAAGAGGGCAGCGGGCAGGAGGUGAAACCUUGGAAGCAUGAAAGUCAACGGGCUGCAGCGGGGCAGGAGGACGAGAGGACCUCUGCGCUGCCCCUGUCCAGGCACAUGGCGGUGGUGAGGGCUCGACACACGCACGCGUCUUCCCAGAGAAAAGGGCAUAGCGCAGCACCGAGGGUGACUGCACUGCAGCUAGCAAAGACAAGCCUUUUGCACAAGACGGAAACCCAACAGACACACACCAAACUGGUUUAGCACCAGCUGAGCUAUUAUAUUUUUAAUCCUUGCAUUGUACAAACAAACCUAAUUUUUAUCAGGUUAUUGUCCUCCCACUGCUUUCCUCUGCAGCUGAUGCUCUGUCAAUAUCUUUUACCCUAAUAUAUAGGCUACAUUAUAAUGAUGCUUCAGUGCCCUAGGUGUCAAAGAGGCAGCAGCAAGAACUUCACUUUGAUAACUGUG